rnacentral:rRNA from 1 species
GACGAACGCUGGCGGCGUGCCUAAUACAUGCAAGUCGAGCGCAGGAAACUGACGGAACUCUUCGGAGGGAAGGCAGCGGAAUGAGCGGCGGACGGGUGAGUAACACGUAGGGAACCUGCCUCAAGGAUUGGGAUAACUCCGAGAAAUCGGAGCUAAUACCGGAUAGUUCAACGGACCGCAUGGUCCGCUGAUGAAAGGCGCUUCGGCGUCACCUUGAGAUGGCCUUGCGGUGCAUUAGCUAGUUGGUGGGGUAACGGCCCACCAAGGCGACGAUGCAUAGCCGACCUGAGAGGGUGAUCGGCCACACUGGGACUGAGACACGGCCCAGACUCCUACGGGAGGCAGCAGUAGGGAAUCUUCCACAAUGGACGAAAGUCUGAUGGAGCAACGCCGCGUGAGUGGUGAAGGUUUUCGGAUCGUAAAACUCUGUUGUAAGGGAAGAACACGUACGAGAGGAAAUGCUCGUACCUUGACGGUACCUUACGAGAAAGCCACGGCUAACUACGUGCCAGCAGCCGCGGUAACAC